GCCGGAGUGGUGAAAUUGGUAGACACAGGGGAUUCAAAAUCCCCCGCCUAAACAGCGUGCCGGUUCGAGUCCGGCCUCCGGUACCA
rnacentral:tRNA from 1 species